AAUUCGCCCUUAGAGUUUGAUCAUGGCUCAGAUUGAACGCUGGCGGCAGGCUUAACACAUGCAAGUCGAGCGGGGUGAUGUAGCUUACUACAUUACCUAGCGGCGGACGGGUGAGUAAUGCUUAGGAAUCUGCCUAUUAGUGGGGGACAACAUUCCGAAAGGAAUGCUAAUACCGCAUACGCCCUACGGGGGAAAGCAGGGGAUCUUCGGACCUUGCGCUAAUAGAUGAGCCUAAGUCAGAUUAGCUAGUUGGUGGGGUAAAGGCCUACCAAGGCGACGAUCUGUAGCGGGUCUGAGAGGAUGAUCCGCCACACUGGGACUGAGACACGGCCCAGACUCCUACGGGAGGCAGCAGUGGGGAAUAUUGGACAAUGGGCGAAAGCCUGAUCCAGCCAUGCCGCGUGUGUGAAGAAGGCCUUUUGGUUGUAAAGCUCUUUAA
rnacentral:rRNA from 1 species